rnacentral:lncRNA from 1 species
CACUCCGCAGAGGCCCGAGCGGGCUCGCGAGGGAACGGGUUCUCCGAGUCUGGCCGGCCACAACAACUGGAUUCUCUUUUCUGAUUUUUGCUGCAGCUUCUGCUUUGUAAUCAUACGGACAGUUGUGCUUGUCAGAGUUAACGGUGAAGUCCACAAAACAAAUUUCCACAUCGGCAGUCAAACCUGUAAGACCAACUUUCUUUCUGCACAUGAAACAUCUGUUUUUCUUUGGUUUGGGCAAUUCAGGAGCUUUUUCUUUACUCUGAGAAGUACUGGGCUGAAAAACUGAUGGGCUGGGCUGAGUGACAACUGGCUCUCACACCUCUGUUUUCGGGGUAGUUAUUUUGUCCUCUGUUGAAAUGCUCAUUUCUGUCAUUUGCUGAGUUACAGGCAAGGCAGCCGCAGGCACAUUUCUUGAUUUUUCAGAUGUGCUGCCAGCAGCACCUUCACAGUUGUUUAAGCUAGUGUCUGCUCUCUGUACAGAUGCAGAAUCUGAGGUAGGACUGUUGGAACCACUAGCUGUCCCCAUUGGGCUCAUUCUGCCACUAUUCUGCUG